AAAAUAAACGGGCUUAGCCCAAAUAGGAAAAAUGGAGAACCCCACGGAGAAGGCCCAAAGGUCAUAAAGAAAUGAAAAAGGCCCAAAGGUCAUAAAGAAAUGAAAAAAGCCCAAUGUUUGUCGCGUAGGCAUGCCGAAUGAAGUAUGUGACCGACAAAUAGGAAUAAUUAUAUACGCGUAUGAAUCAAUAGUGAAGUAAUAUCCCACUAUUAUGAGAUAGGGAUCAGCCUAGAGUGUAGUCAGUGACGCGUUCGGUUCACCGUGAAUAGGUAAAGGCAUCUCCUAGCAAUUUAUUCUGAGUCACUCCGCUGUUAGAGGUCAAGUAGUAGUAUUUUAUUUAUUAAGUUGUAAACGAAUUCUAAAUUUUUAUA